rnacentral:tRNA from 1 species
GCUGAUAUGGCUCAGUUGGUAGAGCGCACCCUGUAAGGGUGAGGUCCCCAGUUCGACUCUGGGUAUCAGCACCA